GUGAACGUGGGGCCGGCAGCCGUGGGUAGAGAGGGGGCCAAAUGGUGGUUCGGAUGUGCUGGGGGGAAAGGGGGAGUAGGUGGCCAGGUAAGUUUGGUGUGAAAGCUCGGAGCUCAACUCCGAAAUGUCAUUGAAUACUAUCUGGCUGGAGGGUCGGAGGGGAGACUGGAAUUCUCGGUGUAGCAGUGAAAUGCGUAGAUAUCGAGAGGAACACCAGUGGCGAAGGCGAGUCUCUGGACGACUCCUGACACUGAGGCACGAAAGCUAGGGGAGCAAACAGGAUUAGAUACCCCUGUAGUC
rnacentral:rRNA from 1 species